rnacentral:rRNA from 1 species
GAUGAACGCUGACAGAAUGCUUAACACAUGCAAGUCAACUUGAACUUCGGUUUGGGUGGCGGACGGGUGAGUAACGCGUAAAGAACUUGCCUCACAGAUAGGGACAGCAUUUGGAAACGAAUGCUAACACCUGAUAUUAUGAUUAUAUGGCAUCGUAUAAUUAUGAAAGCUAUAUGCGCUGUGAGAGAGCUUUGCGUCCCAUUAGCUAGUUGGAGAGGUAACGGCUCACCAAGGCGAUGAUGGGUAGCCGGCCUGAGAGGGUGAUCGGCCACAAGGGGACUGAGACACGGCCCUUACUCCUACGGGAGGCAGCAGUGGGGAAUAUUGGACAAUGGACCAAGAGUCUGAUCCAGCAAUUCUGUGUGCACGAUGAAGUUUUUCGGAAUGUAAAGUGCUUUCAGUUGGGAAGAAAAAAAUGACGGUACCAACAGAAGAAGUGACGGCUAAAUACGUG